rnacentral:rRNA from 1 species
CUGCUUUUAUAUGUGACGAAUAUGACGGUAGCAUAUGAAUAAGGAUCGGCUAAUUCCGUGCCAGCAGCCGCGGUCAUACGGAAGAUCCAAGCGUUAUCCGGAAUUACUGGGCGUAAAGAGUUGCGUAGGUGGCAUAGUAAGCGGGUAGUGAAAGCGUGUGGCUCAACCAUACUCACAUUAUCUGAACUGCUAAGCUAGAGGACGAGAGAGGUUAUUGGAAUUCCCAGUGUAGGAGUGAAAUCCGUAGAUAUUGGGAGGAACACCGAUGGCGUAGGCAGAUAACUGGCUCGUUCCUGACACUAAGGCACGAAAGCGUGGGUAGCAAACGGGAUUAGAUACCCCGGUAGUCCACGCCGUAAACGAUGGAUGCUAGCUGUAUUCGGUAUCGACCCCGGAUGUAGCGAAGCUAACGCGUUAAGCAUCCCGCCUGUGGAGUACGGUCGCAAGACUAAAACAUAAAGGAAUUGACGGGGACCCGCACAAGCGGUGGAGCGUGUUGUUUAAUUCGAUGGUAAGCGAAGAACCUUACCCAGGCUUGACAUCCUGCGAAUUUCUCCGAAAGGAGAGAGUGCUUUAUUGAACGCAGUGACAGGUGAUGCAUGGCCGUCGUCAGCUCGUGU